CGUUGGUGGAACAUCUCCCUCAUCCUGGACUCAACCAAAAAAACCAGCUCCCCCAAAGUCUCAAGCUGUAGGGGAAAUGGCCCUUACGGUGGGAUCGCCUUCCAAAUUCAGCUCAUUAGCAGAAUCAUUAACUGAAGAGGAGGAGCCACAAUUGAUGAAAAUUAUGGAGGUUUCUGCUAAUAAAGGCCAAUCUUCAGCUCAAGCACAAGGAAAAGAGGAAGAGGUCUCCACAGAAAACCCCGCAAUCCCAUAGUCUCUCUCCCUCUAAUUCUCAGCCACAAACCAAGAUCCAAGUUAUUGAGGAGCAGCCUUUGCCAGACCCU
rnacentral:lncRNA from 1 species